GACAACAUCACCUUGAAAACACUGGUUUACAUAUGAUUACCAAAGUUAAGCAAUGUUCAGCCUAGUCAGUACCUAGAUGGGUGUCUGCUCGGGAAUACCAGAUACUGUAAGC